UGCUGUGCUCUUCCUCUGCACCCCACUCAUGCUUGGACAUGGUCCUCUAAGACUGACCCUGUGGCAUUUGCACCAGCAUAGGAGGACUGUUGGACUAGUAUUUUGGGGACAGAGUGGAGAGGACAGGUGUGCUGCUGGGUUGGAUAUGGGGUGUGAGAGAGCAAGCCCCUGUUCCUUUCUCCAGUUUCUCUCUGGUUUCUCUCCUAUCACUUUGCCCUAGGCCAGACACAGAGUAAGUAGUCUGUUAGUCAAAGAAGGUAACGGGCUCAGCACUUAAGUCUCCUGUCCAUAAGGCAUGGGAGGUGGGGCAUGCAAUCGCCAGUAAGACCUCUGGGCCCUUUCUGAGAAGCCAGGGCCGGGAUAUUCCAUGCUGGGCGAGGCCCUGGGUCAGGAGCUCUGUAACUAGGGGCCAGGACCAUUGAGCAGUAGAAAAACUUGCUAAACAGGGGUCUUGCUCUCUUUAAAAAACAAAUAAAAAAAACCCUAAACCAUUUUUCAUUGAGGUAAAAUAUAUAUAACCUAACAUUCGCCAUCUUCUCCAUUUUUAAGUGUAUAGUUCAGU